AGCAGCCGCGGUAAUUCCAGCUCCAAUAGCGUAUAUUAAAGUUGUUGCAGUUAAAAAGCUCGUAGUUGAAUUUCGAGACCGGCUUACUGGUCGUGCUAUUGUACGUACUGGUAUAAUCGGUUUCUCCUUUCUGACGAACUAUAAUGCCAUUAAUUUGGUGUUAUAGGGAAUCAGGACUGUUACUUUGAAAAAAUUAGAGUGUUUAAAGCAGGCUCACGCUUGAAUACAUUAGCAUGGAAUAACGGAAUAGGACGUUUGAUUCUAUUUUGUUGGUUUCUAGGAUCGACGUAAUGAUUAAUAGGGAUAGUUGGGGGCAUUAGUAUUCAAUUGUCAGAGGUGAAAUUCUUGGAUUUAUUGAAGACUAACUACUGCGAAAGCAUUUGCCAAGGAUGUUUUCAUUAAUCAAGAACGAAAGUUAGGGAUCGAAGACGAUCAGAUACCGUCGUAGUCCUAACCAUAAACUAUGCCGACUAGGGAUCGGAUGAUGUUAAUUUUUUAAUGACUCAUUCGGCGCCUUACG
rnacentral:rRNA from 1 species